rnacentral:rRNA from 1 species
AGUGAACGCUGGCGGUAGGCCUAACACAUGCAAGUCGAACGGCAGCACAGUAAGAGCCUGCUCUUACGGGUGGCGAGUGGCGGACGGGUGAGGAAUACAUCGGAAUCUACUUUUUCGUGGGGGAUAACGUAGGGAAACUUACGCUAAUACCGCAUACGACCUACGGGUGAAAGCAGGGGAUCUUCGGACCUUGCGCGAUUGAAUGAGCCGAUGUCGGAUUAGCUAGUUGGCGGGGUAAAGGCCCACCAAGGCGACGAUCCGUAGCUGGUCUGAGAGGAUGAUCAGCCACACUGGAACUGAGACACGGUCCAGACUCCUACGGGAGGCAGCAGUGGGGAAUAUUGGACAAUGGGCGCAAGCCUGAUCCAGCCAUACCGCGUGGGUGAAGAAGGCCUCCGGGUUGUAAAGCCCUUUUGUUGGGAAAGAAAAGCAGCAGGUUAAUACCCCGCUGUUCUGACGGUACCCAAAGAAUAAGCACCGGCUAACUUCGUG